rnacentral:rRNA from 1 species
AACCUGCCCAAGAGAUCGGGAUAACACCUGGAAACAGAUGCUAAUACCGGAUAACAAUAGAUGAUGCCUAUCAACUGUUUAAAAGAUGGUUCUGCUAUCACUCUUGGAUGGACCUGCGGUGCAUUAGCUAGUUGGUAGGGUAACGGCCUACCAAGGCGAUGAUGCAUAGCCGAGUUGAGAGACUGAUCGGCCACAUUGGGACUGAGACACGGCCCAAACUCCUACGGGAGGCAGCAGUU